UACGAGAGGCCCAAACGUUAUUCGGAAUUACUGGGCUUAAAGAGUUCGUAGGCGGCGCAGAAAGUAGGGUGUGAAAGCCCCCGGCUCAACUGGGGAGGGUCACGCGAUACUGAUCGACUCGAAGGCAGGAGAGGGUAGUGGAAUUCCCGGUGUAGUGGUGAAAUGCGUAGAUAUCGGGAGGAACACCAGUGGCGAAGGCGACUACCUGGCCUGUUCUUGACGCUGAGGCGCGAAAGCUAGGGGAGCAAACGGGG
rnacentral:rRNA from 1 species